rnacentral:lncRNA from 1 species
CCCUAUUGUAAGCAGAAUAAAGAUUGUGUAAACUGCUCACUGUGCCAUCAGUCGUGGCUGGAGAGCAGGAAUGCUGCUGACAGCAGUUACUAUUCUUUUGAUACACCAGAUACAUGCCUCACAUUCCCGCAGCAGCUGACACCACAAUUAGCUCUUGUAUGGCCAAAAGGGGGUGGGGAAGGAAGGAGUUCUUCUGGAUAACAUUUGGUAUCCAUGGAUAAGCUUACUUUUUUUUUUUUUUUUCUGCAGUAGUACUGUCAGAUGGCUGAAUCAUGAAGUCUUUAUACUCUACUUGAAUUCCGUUCAUAUAUAUCUUUUGUCUAAUGAUUCCUGAGAGAAGAACACUUAAUGAGUUUCAACCUUGUUUCAUGAAGCUUCAUGACAGUGAAAAUGGAGGAAAAAGCAUUUUCUCAGAGUCAUUUACCCAGUACAUAAAUGAAAUAUCUACUGAAAUCAGGGCAUUAUUUUUCACUGAGAGUUCCUGCUGCCUGAGCAUCUUUGGGUACUUUACAGACAUGAAGGUGAAGCACUGGGAGCUCCCCGCAGACAGCAGCCAAACUAAAACUGCAUCUUCUUGGACAGAGCUCACUAGAGGGAGCACGCACACCGCUGCCUCUGAUCACUAUCACCACAAUCUGCUGACGGAGAUUGACUUGAAUUUUCAAGUCUCCUCAACUGCUGAAAGCUAAAUGAAAAUAAUAAAUCCUAAUGAAUAGACA